rnacentral:rRNA from 1 species
UACGUAGGGGGCAAGCGUUAUCCGGAAUUACUGGGCGUAAAGGGAACGCAGGCGGUCUUUUAAGUCUGAUGUGAAAGCCUUCGGCUUAACCGGAGUAGUGCAUUGGAAACUGGGAGACUUGAGUGCAGAAGAGGAGAGUGGAACUCCAUGUGUAGCGGUGAAAUGCGUAGAUAUAUGGAAGAACGCCAGUGGCGAAAGCGGCUCUCUGGUCUGUAACUGACGCUGAGGUUCGAAAGCGUGGGUAGCAAACAGG